GACGAACGCUGGCGGCGUGCUUAACACAUGCAAGUCGAACGGAAAGGCCCUGCUUUUGUGGGGUGCUCGAGUGGCGAACGGGUGAGUAACACGUGAGUAACCUGCCCUUGACUUUGGGAUAACUUCAGGAAACUGGGGCUAAUACCGGAUAGGAGCUCCUGCUGCAUGGUGGGGGUUGGAAAGUUUCGGCGGCUGGGGAUGGACUCGCGGCUUAUCAGCUUGUUGGUGGGGUAGUGGCUUACCAAGGCUUUGACGGGUAGCCGGCCUGAGAGGGUGACCGGCCACAUUGGGACUGAGAUACGGCCCAGACUCCUACGGGAGGCAGCAGUGGGGAAUAUUGCACAAUGGGCGGAAGCCUGAUGCAGCAACGCCGCGUGCGGGAUGAAGGCCUUCGGGUUGUAAACCGCUUUCGCCUGUGACGAAGCGUGAGUGACGGUAAUGGGUAAAGAAGCACCGGCUAACUACGUG
rnacentral:rRNA from 1 species